UGGGAGCAAGACCAAGGUCAGGGGAGGCGGGGCCAUAAUCAGCAACACGUCUGCGGUUCCUUCCGUUUCUGUCGCGGAGCACCGACCCCUAGCCACCCACUAGAAUGAUCAUUCCAGGCGCGCUUCUGGGAAGAGCCUGUGAUUCCUUCUUCCGGGGACAAUCUCCUCCGUUCCCAGCACCCCUCCCACCCGAGACACACGCACUGCAUAACAACACUAAAGGUCUGCCUGCCGCCCCGUCUUGCUCAGUCAUUAGGCACCCCGACCAGGCUCCCGUCGUUGGGACUCAUUCUCCGGCCCAGCACCUGCCUCGCUGCUGCUACCUCAGGUCUGUGACUCCAACCCUCCUGUGGGGUCGGGCAACUAUAGCAGGAUCUUGCAAGGGGGAGGAUGACCCCGGCCGGCCCGGACGGGCCUGAUGUCACCGCAGGGUCCUCCUAAAGGGGACUCCGCAGAGAUCAGAAUCAAAGAAGGCCAAGUGAUGAUGGAAGCAGAGGGAAGCGGGAUCAGAGGCGGCAGAGGCCACGCCACGGGCUCUUUGAAGAUGGAAGGCGAGUCCGCAAACCGAACACACACCUGCGUCCCUCAGCAGCCGGCAACCACCUCGGAGCGUGUGAGGAUCGGGUGACGGAACACGCGUCACGCAGUCGUGCCGUAAGCGCUCACCGUUACAGUUAUCCGCGGGGCUUCUAGAGCUGCAGUAACCACAGCGGUGCCACAAGCCACGUGUGACUCUCGAGCCCCUGAAACGUGGCUGGCUGCAUCUUGGUAUCUCCCCUGCCGGGUAAGUACUGAAAUGUGGCGAGUCUGAACUGAGCUGGCCACGAAUAAAGGAUACCCAGAUUUCAAAUACUCCAUGCCAAAAAAAAAAAGAAUGUAAAAUAGCUCAAUCAUUUUUAUGUUGAUUACACAUUGAGAUG